rnacentral:rRNA from 1 species
CCUACGGGAGGCAGCAGUGGGGGAUAUUGCACAAUGGGGGGAACCCUGAUGCAGCGACGCCGCGUGGGUGAAGGAGCGUUUCGGCGCGUAAAGCCCUAUCGGCAGGGAAGAAGAAGGACGGUACCGGACUAAGAAGCCCCGGCUAACUACGUGCCAGCAGCCGCGGUAAAACGUAGGGGGCAAGCGUUAUCCGGAUUUACUGGGUGUAAAGGGGGCGCAGACGGCAGUGCAAGCCAGGAGUGAAAGCCCGGGGCCCAACCCCGGGACUGCUCUUGGAACUGCUCGGCUGGAGUGCAGGAGGGGCAGGCGGAAUUCCUGGUGUAGCGGUGAUAUGCGUAGAUAUUAGGAGGAACACCGGUGGCGAAGGCGGCCUACUGGACUGCGACUGACGUUGAGGCCCGAAAGCGUGGGGAGCAAACAGGAUUAGAUACCCUUGUAGUC